GAUCGAAGUUGAUCUUGGUAAAAAGUGCUGGUACCACUCAAUAUUUGCAUGCCCCAUUCUACGACAGCAAACCACAGAUAGCAAUCCGCCUAUGAAGCUUGUAUGUGGCCACAUCAUCUCAAAAGAUGCUUUAAAUAAAAUGUUUAAUGGCAACAAAUUAAAAUGUCCUUACUGCCCCAUGGAACAAAGUCCAGGAGAUGCCAAACAGAUUUUCUUCUGAAAAACAGUACAGACAUUGCUAACAGUUUCCUAUUUUAAGGGUACACUUCGGAAAUGUUCAAAUUCCUACAAUUUCUGCUUUAUCCACUGAUAUCAAAUUACUAUGUUUGUAUAAGCUAGCACUACAGGUAUCCUUUGCCAGUUUUUAGCUCUACAAGAAUUAAACAAUAAAUUGCUCAGAUAGGGCUUUACUGUAGUCUUGAUCCAUCAUACUGAUCAAGCCAAAUACACCAGCAGUCACUAUUUAAUGCAGGGUUUUAUAUUUAAAAUAAAUAUAUAAUGAGUUUUUACUUUA